UCAGAUGGCCGGGCGAUCGCGGCGCGCAAGCGUCGAGGAAAGUCCGGGCUCCACGGUGACAAGGCGGCGGGUAACGCCCGCCGGGGGCGACCCCAGGGAUAGCGCCACAGAGAGCAAACCGCCUCUCCUCGUGAGGGGUAAGGGUGAAAGGGUGGGGUAAGAGCCCACCGCGGGGCUGGUAACAGUCCUGGCACGGCAAGCCCCGCCUGGAGCAAGACCGAAUAGGGAUUCCGCGCCUGACAAGUCGAUCUUCGGGUCGAGACUUCAGGCAGGACCGUCACCGGUCCGAGGCGUCCGGGUUGGUCGCGAGAACCGUCCCGCGAGGGGCGGUCCAGAGGAAUGAUCGUCACCGGCCGUUCUCGGCCGGGACAGAACCCGGCUUACAGGCCAUCUGAUCCG
rnacentral:RNase_P_RNA from 2 species